rnacentral:rRNA from 1 species
UGGGGAAUUUUGGACAAUGGGGGAAACCCUGAUCCAGCCAUCCCGCGUGUGCGAUGAAGGCCUUCGGGUUGUAAAGCACUUUUGGCAGGAAAGAAACGUCAUGGGUUAAUACCCCGUGAAACUGACGGUACCUGCAGAAUAAGCACCGGCUAACUACGUGCCAGCAGCCGCGGUAAUACGUAGGGUGCAAGCGUUAAUCGGAAUUACUGGGCGUAAAGCGUGCGCAGGCGGUUCGGAAAGAAAGAUGUGAAAUCCCAGAGCUCAACUUUGGAACUGCAUUUUUAACUACCGGGCUAGAGUGUGUCAGGGGGAGGUGGAAUUCCGCGUGUGGCAGUGAAAUGCGUAGAUAUGCGGAGGAACACCGAUGGCGAAGGCAGCCUCCUGGGAUAACACUGACGCUCAUGCACGAAAGCGUGGGGAGCAAACAGG